UGAAUCUGAGAAAUCAACUACAGUCUAC
rnacentral:piRNA from 1 species